rnacentral:rRNA from 1 species
UACAGAGGUCUCAAGCGUUGUUCGGAUUCAUUGGGCGUAAAGGGUGCGUAGGCGGCGCGGUAAGUCGGAUGUGAAAUCUCGGAGCUUAACUUCGAAACUGCAUUCGAUACUGCCGUGCUUGAGGACUGGAGAGGAGACUGGAAUUUACGGUGUAGCGGUGAAAUGCGUAGAUAUCAGGAGGAACACCGGUGGCGAAGGCGGGUCUCUGGGCAACAACUGACGCUGAGGAGCGAAAGCGUGGGGAGCGAACAGG